rnacentral:tRNA from 1 species
UCCCUUAUGGCUCGGACGGUAAAGCGUCUGCCUACAAUCCAGGAGACCCAGGUUCAAUCCCUGGGUCGGGAA